UACGAAGGGGGCUAGCGUUGCUCGGAAUCACUGGGCGUAAAGGGUGCGUAGGCGGGUCUUUUAAGUCAGGGGUGAAAUCCUGGAGCUCAACUCCAGAACUGCCUUUGAUACUGAGGAUCUUGAGUUCGGGAGAGGUGAGUGGAACUGCGAGUGUAGAGGUGAAAUUCGUAGAUAUUCGCAAGAACACCAGUGGCGAAGGCGGCUCACUGGCCCGAUACUGACGCUGAGGCACGAAAGCGUGGGGAGCAAAGCAGG
rnacentral:rRNA from 1 species